UGCAAACCCCAUUUCAGCACUGCAAACUUCUUAGCAGAAUCCACGCUAACUUCUGAAAAUUCCCUCCUGCCUGUACCUCAUCCCUCAAGUUCACAGCCACCCCUCCAAGGACUUCAUUCCAAUUCCAGGUUUGUACUGAGGCUGUGGAGCAGACACAAACAGCUUGUGCAAUCCCUGCAGUCCUGGAUGAAAACAAACACGCGGCAAAUACAACCUCCAUCCACACAGCCAGGUGUAUGCAAAUGCUUCCUUACCAUUGUUCAAUUCAAGAUAGGAUAACAGAAAGUUUUCAAACUGCAGCACUCAAAAAAUGCAAAACUGCAGAAGGGAUCAUCGGCUUCCAGGAA
rnacentral:lncRNA from 1 species